rnacentral:rRNA from 1 species
AGAGUUUGAUCAUGGCUCAGGAUGAACGCUGGCGGCGUGCCUAACACAUGCAAGUCGAGCGAGAUUAAGUGGAGUGAGGACUUCGGUCUAAGUGAAGCUUAUGAAAGCGGCGGACGGGUGAGUAACGCGUGGGCAACCUGCCCCAUACAAAGGGAUAGCCACUGGAAACGGUGAUUAAUACCUUAUAAGUCGGUAGCAUCGCAUGAUGUAGUCGACAAAGAUUUAUCGNGUAUGGGAUGGGCCCGCGUCUGAUUAGCUAGUUGGUGAGGUAACGGCUCACCAAGGCGACGAUCAGUAGCCGACCUGAGAGGGUGAUCGGCCACACUGGAACUGAGACACGGUCCAGACUCCUACGGGAGGCAGCAGUGGGGAAUAUUGCACAAUGGGCGCAAGCCUGAUGCAGCAACGCCGCGUGAGUGAUGAAGGCCUUCGGGUCGUAAAACUCUGUCCUAUGGGAAGAGNAAAUGACGNGUACCAUAGGAGGAAGCCCCGGCUAACUACGUGCCAGCAGCCGCGGUAAUACGUAGGGGGCAAGCGUUAUCCGGAAUCCUGGGNCGUAAGGGGGGGCGUAGGUGGCUCAUCAAGCCCAGAGGUGGAAAGGCAUUGGGCUCAGCCAAUGUAAGCCCUUUGGAACUGAUNAGCUUGAGUGCAGGGAAAGG